rnacentral:rRNA from 1 species
UUAAGCUACAAAGGGCAUACGGUGGAUGCCUAGGCAUUGAGAGUCGAUGAAGGACGCGGUAAGCUGCGAAAAGGUAUGGGGAGCCGCAAGCAGGCAAUGAUCCAUACAUCUCCGAAUGGGGCAACCCGGUACGAGUCAUGUCGUACCAUCCUACGGGAGGAUAACCCGGUGAACUGAAACAUCUAAGUAGCCGGAGGAAGAGUAAUCAAACGAGAUUCCCAUAGUAGCGGCGAGCGAACAGGGAAGAGCCCAAACCCGUUGUCUUCGGACGACGGGGGUUGAGGACCAGCAUAAAUCAAAGAAGUGUUAGAAGAAGGGCAUGGGAAGGCCUGGCGCAGAGGGUGAGACCCCCGUAUUUAAAAACAUUUCGAGAGGGCUGGUAUCCAGAGUACCACGAGACACGUGAAACCUUGUGGGAAGCAGGGUGGACCACCAUCCAAGGCAAAAUACUACUCAAUGACCGAUAGCGCAUAGUACCGUGAGGGAAAGGUGAAAAGUACCCCUGGAGGGGAGUGAAAUAGAACCUGAAACCGUAUGUCUACAAGCAGUCGAAGCACUUUAUAUGUGCGACGGCGUGCCUAUUGAAGAAUGAACCGGCGAGUUAUCCGUUGUGGCGAGGUUAAGUGGAAGACACGGAGCCGAAGCGAAAGCGAGUCUUAAUAGGGCGACAGUCACAGCGGGUAGACCCGAAACCACAGUGAUCUAUGCAUGGCCAGGUUGAAGCUCAGGUAAAAAUGAGUGGAGGACCGAACCCGUGAGUGUUGAAAAACUUUGGGAUGAGCUGUGCAUAGGGGUGAAAUGCCAAUCGAACGUGGAGAUAGCUGGUUCUCCCCGAAAUAGCUUUAGGGCUAGCCUCAGGGAAUGCACAUAGACGGUAGAGCUCUGAUCGGGCUAGGGGGCGUAAAGCCUACCGACCCCAGUCAAACUGCGAAUGGCUAUGUGAGAAGAACCUGGGAGUCAGACUGCGAGUGAUAAGACCCGUAGUCAAGAGGGAAACAGCCCAGACCGCCGACUAAGGUCCCAAAUGCUGUACUAAGUGGAAAAGGAUGUAGGACUUCAGAAACAACCAGGAUGUUGGCUCAGAAGCAGCCACCAUUUAAAGAGUGCGUAAUAGCUCACUGGUCGAGAGGCCCUGCGCCGAAAAUAUCCGGGGCUCAAGUACAGAACCGAAGUCGCGGCAUGCGCAAGCAUGGGUAGGGGAGCGUUGAAACAGCGGAGAAGGCGUACCGUAAGGAGCGCUGGAGCGGUUUCAAGAGAGAAUGCCGGUAUGAGUAGCGAAAAGGACGGUGAGAAUCCGUCCCACCGAAAGCCUAAGGUUUCCUGAGCAACGCUCGUCGACUCAGGGUAAGUCGGGACCUAAGCCGAGGCAGCAAGCAUAGGCGAUGGACAACAGGCUAAUAUUCCUGUACCCGCAAGUUUUGUUUGAGCAAUGGAGUGACGCAGGAGAAAGUGGGAGCUGGCUGCUGGAUUAGCCAGUCGAAGGCUGCAGGCUGCGGAGGAGGCAAAUCCCUUCCGUAACGGCUCAGAGCUGAUAGAUAGACGACCUUCGGGGAGUCAAAUUUCCAUGAAUCACACUGCCGAGAAAAGCUUCUAGUGAGAAACUUGUGGCCCGUACCAAAACCGACACAGGUAGGCGGGGAGAGUAUCCUAAGGUGCGCGGGAAAACCCUCGUUAAGGAACUCGGCAAAAUGCAUCCGUAACUUCGGGAUAAGGAUGACCGGAGCUGGUGAACUCCCUGCGGAGGAAGCUGGAGCCGGUGGCAGAAGAGAGGCCCAAGCGACUGUUUACCAUAAACACAGGUGCCUGCUAAAGAGAAAUCUGACGUAUAGGUGCUGACACCUGCCCGGUGCUGGAAGGUUAAGAGGAGGGGUCAGGCGCAAGCUGAAGCUCUGAAUUGAAGCCCCAGUAAACGGCGGCCGUAACUAUAACGGUCCUAAGGUAGCGAAAUUCCUUGUCGGGU